rnacentral:rRNA from 1 species
CCUACGGGAGGCAGCAGUGGGGAAUCUUACACAAUGCAGCAACCCUGAUCCAGCACAACCGGGGUGAACCAUGAAGCCGCUAGGCCGGGUGAGCGAUGAAUCCCGGAAGAUGUAAACCCUUUUACCCGCGGCUGAGUGACGGUACCUGCAGAAGAAGCAUAGCUAGCUUCG